rnacentral:lncRNA from 1 species
UUGUUAUUGAAUUGGAACUGAUUGAUUGUUGAGAUUGUUGGAAAAAAUCGGAAUUAUUGAAGAAACUCGGUGUUGAUGUUGACAGGGUUGAGAACUCUGUCUGACAUGAGGCCUCCUCUACCUCCCCAUUGAUACUGAUUUAGCUUCUCCUUCCUUCUUCUUGGAGAAAUUACCACUAUGCCUCUUGCUAGAUGAUGCCUCUUCUUUAGUCAAACGUCCUUCACAGACUCUUUCUUCUAACCUCAUCCCCAUGUUUACCAUUUCGGUAAGAUCAUUGGGGGCGCUUGCAAUCAUACGUUCGUAAUAAAACAAACUCAACGUCUUCAGGAAAAUCUUAGUCAUCUCUUUCUCUUCAAGAGGCGGACUUAUC